rnacentral:rRNA from 1 species
AUUGAACGCUGGCGGCAGGCUUAACACAUGCAAGUCGAGAGGGGUGAUGGUGCUUGCACUAUCACUUAGCGGCGGACGGGUGAGUAAUGCUUAGGAAUCUGCCUAUUAGUGGGGGACAACAUCUCGAAAGGGAUGCUAAUACCGCAUACGUCCUACGGGAGAAAGCAGGGGAUCACUUGUGACCUUGCGCUAAUAGAUGAGCCUAAGUCGGAAUAGCUAGUUGGGGGGGUAAAGGCCUACCAAGGCGACGAUCUGUAGCGGGUAUGAGAGGAUUGUCCGCCUCACUGGGACUGAGACACGGCCCCGACUUCUACGGGAGGCAGCAGUGGGGAAUUUUGGACAAUGGGGGGAACCCUGAUCCAGCCAUGCCGCGUGUGUGAAGAAGACCUUAUGGUUGUAAAGCACUUUAAGCGAGGAGGAGGCUCUUUUGGUUAAUACCCAAGAUGAGUGGACGUUACUCGCAGAAUAAGCACCGGCUAACUCUGUGCCAGCUGCCGCCGCGG